UCGAACGGGAAAGUGGAGCAAUCCAUGAGUAUAGUGGCGACCGGGUGAGUAACACGUGACUACCUGCCCUUGAGUGGGGGAUAACCUCGGGAAACCGAGGCUAAUACCGCAUAAUAUCGCAAGAUCAAAGGAGCAAUCCGCUUUUGGAGGGGGUCGCGGCUGAUUAGCUAGUUGGUAGGGUAAUGGCCUACCAAGGCGAAGAUCGGUAUCCGGCCUGAGAGGGCGCACGGACACACUGGAACUGAAACACGGUCCAGACUCCUACGGGAGGCAGCAGUGGGGAAUUUUGCGCAAUGGGGGAAACCCUGACGCAGCAACGCCGCGUGGAGGAUGAAGCCCCUUGGGGCGUAAACUCCUUUCGACUGGGAAGAUAAUGACGGUACCAGUGGAAGAAGCACCGGCUAACUCUGUGCCAGCAGCCGCGGUAAUACAGAGGGUGCGAGCGUUGUUCGGAAUUAUUGGGCGUAAAGGGCGCGUAGGCGGUGCGGUAAGUCACCUGUGAAACCUCUGGGCUUAACUCAGAGCCUGCAGGCGAAACUGCCGUGCUGGAGGGUGGGAGAGGUGCCUGGAAUUCCCGGUGUAGCGGUGAAAU
rnacentral:rRNA from 1 species